ACCUGGGUGGCUCAGUCGGUUGAGCGUCCGACUUUGGCUCGGGUCAUGAUCUCACGGUUCGCAGGUUCGAGCCCCGCAUCGGGCU
rnacentral:tRNA from 1 species